ACUCCUACGGGAGGCAGCAGUGGGGAAUCUUAGACAAUGGGGGCAACCCUGAUCUAGCCAUGCCGCGUGUGUGAUGAAGGCCUUAGGGUCGUAAAGCACUUUCGCCGGGGAAGAUAAUGACGGUACCCGGUAAAGAAGCCCCGGCUAACUCCGUGCCAGCAGCCGCGGUAAUACGGAGGGGGCUAGCGUUGUUCGGAAUUACUGGGCGUAAAGCGCACGUAGGCGGAUCGGAAAGUUGGGGGUGAAAUCCCAGGGCUCAACCCUGGAACUGCCUUCAAAACUAUCGGUCUAGAGUUCUGGAGAGGUGAGUGGAAUUCCGAGUGUAGAGGUGAAAUUCGUAGAUAUUCGGAGGAACACCAGUGGCGAAGGCGGCUCACUGGCCAGAUACUGACGUGAGGUGCGAAA
rnacentral:rRNA from 1 species